rnacentral:rRNA from 1 species
UGGCCCUACGGGGCGCAGCAGUAGGGAAUUUUCGUCAAUGGGCGCAAGCCUGAACGAGCAAUGCCGCGUGAACGAGGAAGGUCUUCGGAUCGUAAAGUUCUGUUGAAGGGGAAAAAGAGCGGAGAGAGGAAAUGGUCUCCGAUUGAUAUUACCCUUCGAGGAAGUCACGGCUAACUACGUGCCAGCAGCCGCGGUAAUACGUAGGUGGCGAGCGUUAUCCGGAAUGAUUGGGCGUAAAGAGCGCGUAGGCGGGGGGUCAAGUCAGAUGUGAAAUCCUGUAGCUUAACUACAGAACUGCAUUUGAA